rnacentral:rRNA from 1 species
UACGGAGGGUGCGAGCGUUGUCCGGAAUCACUGGGCGUAAAGGGCGCGUAGGCGGCCUGGCAAGUCGAUGGUGAAAGCCCGAGGCUCAACUUCGGGUCGGCCACUGAUACUGCUGGGCCUGAGUCGACUAGAGGCAGAUGGAAUUCCGGGUGUAGCGGUGGAAUGCGUAGAGAUCCGGAAGAACACCGGUGGCGAAGGCGGUCUGCUGGGGUCGAACUGACGCUGAGGCGCGACAGCGUGGGGAGCAAACAGG